UGAGCGUCGUUGUAUGGAAGACUAGUGAUUUUGUUGUUCUACUUAAGAUGUAACAAGGAAUCACUAAUCAUCCUACAAAGACGCUCG
rnacentral:pre_miRNA from 3 species